CGACCCUUUUCAUUUUAAUAUGCAUAUGCAGGAGUAAUUAUAACCCCCAGACAAUAAAAUAAUGUGAUAGAAAAGUAGAGCCAUAUUUUUCAUAUUGAAAUUCACAACCAAACUUUUAUACAACCACACCUCAAAGUAUUUUACCAUACUAUUCACAAAGGUCUAAUCUCACACUCAACCACCUAUAAACAGGGUUCACAAAGAGGAUGGGAUCAUAGUCCUUAUCCGAGUUGUACUCGGAUCAUCAUCGGGGUUCUCCUCCAAGUACUCCUCUUCGGGUUCUUUCUCCUCAAGCUCCUCAUCAAGGUCCUGAAAUGUUGUCCCACAACCGGGAUGAAACUACGUCUCAGCAAGUUAUACCCCCUUAAGACUUGAUUAGUCAACCAAUACGCUAUCUAGGCUGCCUAUGCACGCACGGGUUAGAGGACUUACCUUGGCCUCAGACUCCACCUGCAUUUUAGCAUAGUUCAAUAGGCACCCAAGCAAUCACAUCACAGAUUGAUAUCUUGAUCAAUCGACCUAAUCGAUUUCAUGUCAAUCCGACCAUUCCCCGGUCGUCUCCCUUAUUCAGUCUCAAAUCUUACUCAAGGCUUCACGAGCACAACCUAUCAAAUUUCUUGGCUACAACUUACGGACCAAAGGACACAAUCUAUCUUUAGGUGGUAAAUUAUGGCCCAAUGGGCAUGACCUUUAAUAGGUGGCAGAUUACGGCCUUAUCAGGCGUGACCCCUAUCGGGUGGCAAUUUACGGCCCCACGGGCGCGACCUCUAUCAAUGGCAAUUUACGACCCAACAGGCGCGACCUUUAAUAGGUGGUAGAUUACAGUCUUAUCAGGCACGACCCCUAUCGAGUGGCAAUUUACAGCCCCAUGGGCAUGACCUCUAUCAGGUGGCAAUUUACGAACCAACGGGCGUGACCUCUAUCAGGUGGCAAUUUACGGCCCAACGGGCACGACCAAUUCCAAAUUCGGUGGCAAAACGCGGUCCCACUGACACAACCAUACUUUGGCGGCUUUCGAGGUUCAACUCACAACCUCUCACAGUCAAUUUUUAAUUAAACACUGACACUGAUCAAUCUUGGGAUAAAUCCCCACAUACUCAUCAACUCACUCAAUUUCCACAAACCAGUGCUCAAUUAAAUAAACAAAAAGCAUCACUGAAAUCGGCACGAAAUUCCGAUCACCGACCAUCCAGGUUGAAUUUCUGGAAAAAUAAAUAAAUAAGUAAUUAAUUUCGAAAAUUAAUAAAUAAAUACUAAAAAUUCAAUUUAGCCUGAUUGAAGCCCGAAACGGGUCGGGAAAAAUCCCGAGAUGCAUUUGAUAAAUAAUAGUACGUCUCUACUUGCUAAUUGCACAAUUCAAUUGUCUAACAUGCAUCACAAUUAUCUAAUAAUCAUUAAUCUACUCUAAUCUAACCACCUAAUUGCACUUAAUUAAAUUUAGUCAACCCUUAAACAUAAGUAGCAAACUAAGAAAGUAUUAGUGAGUAAAACUCACUUAAUUAAAAGUGGGGAUCGGGACACCGCGACGACGACGCGACGGCGGCCGAAAUCCAAACUUUCGGUGGCGUUGGCGAAUACUCGGGCCAGGCUCAACAGGCCUUGCAAGCCCACGGAAAAUUCUGGGCUUGGUUGAUGGGCUUGGGCCUCAAAAACUGGGCUGCUGGACUGAGGUUCACUUGGGCCAAAAACUGAAGAUGGGCUACACUUGUAGACUUGGGCUCCAAAGGCUGAAUUUCGCAUGGGCUGUAGCUUGACUCCUUGGGCUGAAUUGCUGAAAUCGUGUGGGCUGAAGAUGGGCCUGCUGCAGGCUUGGAUCCAAGUGAAGAUGGGCUAAGACUUGAGUGGACUGAGCUUAAAACUUGGACUUCAUUUUGCUGGGCUGAUGGGCCCGAGCAAAGGAGCGGCAAGGGCUGAAAUUGGCUGACUCAAUUCUCUGGACUCAACUGGGCUGCUGGUGGGCCGAAGACACUGGAAUCCACGGCUUGCUUCGUGCGAUUCACACGGCCAGAUGGAGACAGCAAGCGAGGCAGGAGGAUCGAAGAUGGCAGAAGCAGCUGCUGGCAUCCGUUGGUGGGUGUCGCGGUCAAAGAUGGGAGAAGUAGUUGGUUCGUUGACCCGCGUGGGGACAGCGAGAGGGAGAGAAAACCGGUGGGCUUCGGUCGUUGGUGGGCUUGGUCUGGCGAUGCAGGCGUGAGGCUCCGUGGAACGUGGGCUGAACGUGGCAGAGCUGGAAGAGACGCACGCGGGCAGCAAAGUCUUCGAAGGAGGGAGCUUCGGUGGACGUUGCUAGGGGUCUUCGGUGGCAGCAAAUGGGGCAGGAGAUGAAGACACGACACUGAAGCUGUUGCUGGGUGAGUGGGGGCUUCACACGGUCAACAAAUGAGCUCUACUUGCAAGGAUGUUGACUGAAAUUCGGUGGAUGGCUGCGUGAGGAACGCUCGGUGGAUCGUGGCUUCCCUUCUGUGAUGCUGCAGACUUCGGGCGGACUAAUAAAAGAGAAGAACGAAAGCAAAGCAAAGACCGAAGCUCCAAGACGUGCAGAGGAAGAUAGAAGUGUGUGGAUGAAAGUAUCGGUCAAAUAAAGCAGAAAAAAUAGAGAGCUUUGACUAAAAUCAAAGCAAUCGAGAGAGGAGGGGAAAUGGGUUACGGCAGGGGGAGAGAGACGUCGGUGGGGGGAAAAUUUCGCACGAGGAGAGAGAGAGAGAGAGUAGUGGGCGUGGGGAAGUCGGCCAAAAGAGGGAAAAUAGAGAUAGAAAGGAAAAAUUAAAAGAAC
rnacentral:lncRNA from 1 species